rnacentral:lncRNA from 1 species
CUUAGGUUCAAUUGUAAUCAACUCCUUGAUCCAUCUUCAAUCAACCUAUGAUCUCAAUCCGCGCAAGGCUAGCUUGUAGGAGGCAUACAUCGAUCAACCAUCGACGUGCAACAUACAUCACAGAUUACAUCCCAGAUAAAAUUCAAAAAUAAAAGAAUAAUUACAACCCUUUUUCAUGAGACACGUAGGUCUCUAAUACAUGAAUUUGAGAUGCUCGCAGGCAUCUGAAAAAUUGAUUUACAUGUCAUCACAUAACAUCACAGAUUACAUCGCAGAUCAUAUCAGCACAUUCACAAAGGGUCAUCCAUGAUCAUCACCAUUCGCAUCACAUGCAU